rnacentral:rRNA from 1 species
CAGGCUUAACACAUGCAAGUCGAGGGGCAGCAUGGUCUUAGCUUGCUAAGGCCGAUGGCGACCGGCGCACGGGUGAGUAACACGUAUCCAACCUGCCGUCUACUCUUGGACAGCCUUCUGAAAGGAAGAUUAAUACAAGAUGGCAUCAUGAGUCCACAUGUUCACAUGAUUAAAGGUAUUCCGGUAGACGAUGGGGAUGCGUUCCAUUAGAUAGUAGGCGGGGUAACGGCCCACCUAGUCUUCGAUGGAUAGGGGUUCUGAGAGGAAGGUCCCCCACAUUGGAACUGAGACACGGUCCAAACUCCUACGGGAGGCAGCAGUGAGGAAUAUUGGUCAAUGGGCGAGAGCCUGAACCAGCCAAGUAGCGUGAAGGAUGACUGCCCUAUGGGUUGUAAACUUCUUUUAUAAAGGAAUAAAGUCGGGUAUGCAUACCCGUUUGCAUGUACUUUAUGAAUAAGGAUCGGCUAACUCCGUGCCAGCAGUCGCGGUAAUACGGAGGAUCCGAGCGUUAUCCGGAUUUAUUGGGUUUAAAGGGAGCGUAGAUGGAUGUUUAAGUCAGUUGUGAAAGUUUGCGGCUCAACCGUAAAAUUGCAGUUGAUACUGGAUAUCUUGAGUGCAGUUGAGGCAGGCGGAAUUCGUGGUGUAGCGGUGAAAUGCUUAGAUAUCACGAAGAACUCCGAUUGCGAAGGCAGCCUGCUAAGCUGCAACUGACAUUGAGGCUCGAAAGUGUGGGUAUCAAACAGGAUUAGAUACCCUGGUAGUCCACACGGUAAACGAUGAAUACUCGCUGUUUGCGAUAUACGGCAAGCGGCCAAGCGAAAGCGUUAAGUAUUCCACCUGGGGAGUACGCCGGCAACGGUGAAACUCAAAGGAAUUGACGGGGGCCCGCACAAGCGGAGGAACAUGUGGUUUAAUUCGAUGAUACGCGAGGAACCUUACCCGGGCUUAAAUUGCAGAUGAAUUACGGUGAAAGCCGUAAGCCGCAAGGCAUCUGUGAAGGUGCUGCAUGGUUGUCGUCAGCUCGUGCCGUGAGGUGUCGGCUUAAGUGCCAUAACGAGCGCAACCCUUGUUGUCAGUUACUAACAGGUUCCGCUGAGGACUCUGACAAGACUGCCAUCGUAAGAUGUGAGGAAGGUGGGGAUGACGUCAAAUCAGCACGGCCCUUACGUCCGGGGCUACACACGUGUUACAAUGGGGGGUACAGAGGGCCGCUACCACGCGAGUGGAUGCCAAUCCCCAAAACCUCUCUCAGUUCGGACUGGAGUCUGCAACCCGACUCCACGAAGCUGGAUUCGCUAGUAAUCGCGCAUCAGCCACGGCGCGGUGAAUACGUUCCCGGGCCUUGUACACACCGCCCGUCAAGCCAUGGGAGCCGGGGGUACCUGAAGUGCGUAACCGCGAGGAGCGCCCUAGGGUAAAACUGGUGACUGGGGC